rnacentral:rRNA from 1 species
CCACCCUUUAAUGUUUGAUGUUCUAACGUGGACCCGUUACCCGGGUUGCGGACAGUGUCUGGUGGGUAGUUUGACUGGGGCGGUCUCCUCCUAAAGAGUAACGGAGGAGCACGAAGGUUGGCUAAUCCUGGUCGGACAUCAGGAGGUUAGUGCAAUGGCAUAAGCCAGCUUGACUGCGAGCGUGACGGCGCGAGCAGGUGCGAAAGCAGGUCAUAGUGAUCCGGUGGUUCUGAAUGGAAGGGCCAUCGCUCAACGGAUAAAAGGUACUCCGGGGAUAACAGGCUGAUACCGCCCAAGAGUUCAUAUCGACGGCGGUGUUUGGCACCUCGAUGUCGGCUCAUCACAUCCUGGGGCUGAAGUAGGUCCCAAGGGUAUGGCUGUUCGCCAUUUAAAGUGGUACGCGAGCUGGGUUUAGAACGUCGUGAGACAGUUCGGUCCCUAUCUGCCGUGGGCGCUGGAGAACUGAGGGGGGCUGCUCCUAGUACGAGAGGACCGGAGUGGACGCAUCACUGGUGUUCGGGUUGUCAUGCCAAUGGCACUGCCCGGUAGCUAAAUGCGGAAGAGAUAAGUGCUGAAAGCAUCUAAGCACGAAACUUGCCCCGAGAUGAGUUCUCCCUGAGACUUAGAGUCUCCUGAAGGAACGUUGAAGACGACGACGUUGAUAGGCCGGGUGUGUAAGCGCAGCGAUGCGUUGAGCUAACCGGUACUAAUGAACCGUGAGGCUUAACCUUACAACGCCGAAGCUGUU